rnacentral:lncRNA from 13 species
AUUACAGUUCCAUUGAAGAAUGGGUUGGAACUGUAAGCUGUCUGCUGCCUAAUCUCACUCCAGGACAGUAUUACAUUUGUUUGUAGCACAAUCAUUAUUCUAGGGUCAGACCACUUCCAUGUCUCUAAAAUGGAUUGUAUCUGCACAUUCCAGUCAACCAUUUCCUUCUAAACGCAAGAGCAGAUACUUAAAGUGAUCUCGUAUAAGCUGCCUGCACAGGCCUACGGCCCUAGCAGAGAUUUGGAUAUAAUGACGAGAUGGUUGUGUCUCCACACUAACAAUGGGUUUCGUUGACCACAGAGCGGAAUGGUGGGCUGUCAAGCUCCCGCCUAUUCCUUUCUUUGGAUUGGCAACCUCUUUUCCCUUUAUGGAACGGCGGCAGUUUUGAAGAGGUUGAAAAUGUUUUUUCACUCCUGCACUUUGAAGUUGACCAAGUGUAACUCUUCUGCUUUUUGAGUAUAGUUAACUCACAGUUUUGUAUUUAAUGUUUAUAAUUGAGUUCAGGCUAAUGGAAAAAAUGUAGAUCAUCUGUUUCCUGAAAUGUUUUAAGUAAACUUAGUUAUAUUUGAGUAAUGGUGAGCUUUGCUAAACUCAAACAUUUCAAGUAUUGCAACUAUAUACUGACAGUAAGUGACUGACUUAAAAAGAUUGUUCGUAUUUUAACUAGUGAUUUUUAUGGAG